rnacentral:rRNA from 1 species
GAUGAACGCUGGCGGCGUGCCUAAUACAUGCAAGUCGAGCGAACAGACGAGGAGCUUGCUCCUCUGACGUUAGCGGCGGACGGGUGAGUGACACGUGGAUAACCUACCUAUAAGACUGGGAUAACUUCGGGAAACCGGAGCUAAUACCGGAUAAUAUAUUGAACCGCAUGGUUCAAUAGUGAAAGACGGUUUUGCUGUCACUUAUAGAUGGAUCCGCGCCGCAUUAGCUAGUUGGUAAGGUAACGGCUUACCAAGGCAACGAUGCGUAGCCGACCUGAGAGGGUGAUCGGCCACACUGGAACUGAGACACGGUCCAGACUCCUACGGGAGGCAGCAGUAGGGAAUCAUCCGCAAUGGGCGAAAGCCUGACGGAGCAACGCCGCGUGAGUGAUGAAGGUCUUCGGAUCGUAAAACUCUGUUAUUAGGGAAGAACAAAUGUGUAAGUAACUAUGCACGUCUUGACGGUACCUAAUCAGAAAGCCACGGCUAACUACGUG